rnacentral:tRNA from 1 species
GGGCGGUUAGCUCAGUUGGCUAGAGCACCUGCCUUACAAGCAGGGGGUCACUGGUUCAAGUCCAGUACCGCCCACCA